UACGUAGGGGGCAAGCGUUGUCCGGAUUUAUUGGGCGUAAAGAGCGUGUAGGCGGCUAGAUAGGUCCGUUGUGAAAACUCGAGGCUCAACCUCGAGACGUCGAUGGAAACCAUCUGGCUAGAGUCCGGAAGAGGAGAGUGGAAUUCCUGGUGUAGCGGUGAAAUGCGUAGAUAUCAGGAGGAACACCGGUGGCGAAGGCGCUCAUCUGGCCCAAUACUGACGCUGAUGCGCGAAAGCUAGGGGAGCAAACGGG
rnacentral:rRNA from 1 species